rnacentral:rRNA from 1 species
CACCGCGGUUAUACGGAGGGCCCAAGUUGACAAUUACGGCGUAAAGCGUAGUUAAGAUACAUACUAAAAUAGGGCCGAAUAACCUCAAGACAGUAAAAUGUGUUCGAGGCCACUAAGCUCAACUAUGAAAAUAGCCCUAAUUACUAUGACCCUACGAAAGCUAAAAUA